UAAAGAUUUUAAGGGCGUACGGUGGAUGCCUUGGCUAUACUGGCCGAUGAAGGACGCGGUAAGCUGCGAUAAGCUACGGAGAGGUGCAAGCAACCUUUGACCCGUAGAUUUCCGAAUGGGGAAACCCGGCGGAAGUUAUGUUCCGUCACCCAUACCUUAGAGUAUGAGGAGGGCACCUGGGGAACUGAAACAUCUAAGUACCCAGAGGAAGAGUAAUCAAACGAGAUUCUCCUAGUAGCGGCGAGCGAACGGGGAAGAGCCCAAACCGGAUCGGGAAACCGGACCGGGGUUGAGGACUGUCAUCAAGUGUAAAUGAGAUAGAAGAAUUGUGCUGGAACGCACAGCCGUAGAAGGUGAAAGCCCUGUACUCGAAAUCUUGCAUGCAUGGGACAGUAUCCAGAGUACCACGAGACACGUGAAACCUUGUGGGAAGCAGGGGGGACCACCCUCCAAGGCAAAAUACCAGUAUGGACCGAUAGCGCAUAGUACCGUGAGGGAAAGGUGAAAAGCACCCCGGGAGGGGAGUGAAAGAGAACCUGAAACCGUAUGUCUACAAACAGUCGAAGCGCGUAUAAUUGCAGCGCAACGGCGUGCCUAUUGAAGAAUGAACCGGCGAGUUACUGUUACUAGCGAGGUUAAGUGGAAAACAUGGAGCCGAAGCGAAAGCGAGUCUGAAUAGGGCGAUUAGUUAGUGAUAGUAGACCCGAAACCGUAGUGAUCUAUCCAUGGCCAGGUUGAAGCACAGGUAAAAUUGUGUGGAGGACCGAACUCGUGAGCGUUGAAAAGCUUUGGGAUGAGCUGUGGAUAGGGGUGAAAUGCCAAUCGAACACGGAGAUAGCUGGUUCUCCCCGAAAUAGCUUUAGGGCUAGCCUCAUGGAGAGAGUAUAGGCGGUAGAGCACUGAUCGGGCUAGGGCCCAUACCGGGUACCGAACCUAGUCAAACUACGAAUGGCUAUACUUAUACAUGGGAGUCAGACUAUGAGUGAUAAGGCCCAUAGUCAAGAGGGAAACAGCCCAGACCACCAACUAAGGUCCCUAAUGCUGUACUAAGUGGCGAAGGAUGUGGAAUUUCUAAAACAACCAGGAUGUUGGCUUAGAAGCAGCCACCAUUCAAAGAGUGCGUAAUAGCUCACUGGUCGAGAGACUCUGCGCCGAAAAUGUCCGGGGCUAAAGUACAGAACCGAAGUUGUGGCAAAUGCAGUAAUGUAUUUGGGUAGGGGAGCGUUCUUAUUGGAUUGAAGCAGUACCGGAAGGAGCUGUGGACUGAUAAGAAGUGAGAAUGCCGGUAUGAGUAGCGAAAAGAAAGGUGAGAAUCCUUUCCACCGAAAGCCUAAGGGUUCCUGAGCAACGAUCGUCGACUCAGGGUAAGUCGGGACCUAAGCCGAGGCGGAAAAGCGUAGGCGAUGGACAACAGGUUGAAAUUCCUGUACUAGUAUGAAUUGUUUGAUCGAUGGAGUGACGCAGUAAGAUAGGUCAGCACGAGGAUGGAAAUUCGUGUUUAAGCGUGUAGGUGAAGUGGCAGGCAAAUCCACCAUUUCAAAAGCUGAGGCGUGAUGAGGAGUUACUAGAAAUAGUGACGAACUGAUUGAUUCUACACUGCCGAGAAAAGCUUCUAGGUAGAGACAUACUACCCGUACCGAAACCGACACAGGUGGGCGGGGAGAGAAUCCUAAGGUGCGCGGGAAAACCCUCGUUAAGGAACUCGGCAAAAUGCCUCCGUAACUUCGGGAAAAGGAGGACUCAUGUAGUGUGAAGAGCAGUAACGCUUGGAGCAUGAAUGAGUGGCACAAGAGAGGCGCAAGCGACUGUUUACCACAAACACAGGUGCCUGCUAAAGCGAAAGCUGAUGUAUAGGUGCUGACACCUGCCCGGUGCUGGAAGGUUAAGAGGAGGGGUUAGGAGUAAUCCGAAGCUCUGAAUUGAAGCCCCAGUAAACGGCGGCCGUAACUAUAACGGUCCUAAGGUAGCGAAAUUCCUUGUCGGGUAAGUUCC
rnacentral:rRNA from 1 species